rnacentral:lncRNA from 1 species
CACUGGGCCUGGCUUGAGCUUCUGAAAGCUCAAAGCCCACUCCCAGGGACAUACUUCCAACAAAUCCACACCUACUUCAGUAAGGCACUAGUGCCGCUCCCUGCAUGCCUAUGUGGGCCAUUUUCUUUCACACUACCACAAUUGUGUCCAAAUUUAUCAUCUAUUUAUUUUUUCUUACUUUUCAUUUAUUUUGGGUGUAUGUGUGUAUAGGGUGAGUGUAUAAAUGAGAGAGACAAAGACAUUUUUAUUGAAAAAUGUUUGAUGCAAUAGUGUAGCAGAAGCUGUAGCUACGCCUGCCUUGGGGUGUGUCUGAGCAAGCCUGCGAGGGCGUGGUCAGGGUAAUGUAGAGUGAGAGGCAUUCAGGUGGUGCUGCAGUUUCACUUUCGGUUUCUCCCACUUUCGGCUUGCUGUUCAGACUGCUGCAACGCCAGCUGGCUAGGUCGCUCUUAGCGAUUCUAAUGAACCAUACACUUUCUUAACUGUGGAGGAAAAAAAGACAAAACUGUUAUUUGGAGCCGAAUCGAGCAGGCAGUUUAACAAGCAACAGGAAAUGUUUAAAAGCACCAAGAUCAUUAUCCAGUAAAAUUAAAUCUCCAAACCAAAGGGCUGAACACUCAAUCCAUGGGAAUUCUUCAAGUGGAACUACUAUCAGCCUCAAGAACACAACUAUGCAGGUAAAGCCAUACACUGUACAGGUAAAGCCACACAUCUGUAUGGGGAAAACUAUUAGAUAUACUGGACCAUCUGGGGAGAGAAGAGCAAUUCAAGCUGUCCCCAGCCUGAGCAGUGGUGUGUCCUCCUCUCAGCAGGUUCAGAUG